rnacentral:lncRNA from 1 species
GCCUUGCCUUUGAACCACUCUCCUACCCAACCUUCCUGCUUCUGUCUGACCUACCUUCCUUCUUCAGCAGCUAGGAUCCUUUAAAAGUGAGCACCAAAUGAUGGGGAUUCUUCAGCCACAAGUGUCCUCUGAAAUUCUAUCUUACUUAGAGUAAAAUCUCUAGAUUCAUACAGUGUUCCGUGUGUGGGUGGUGGCUUAUUUUUUCCUGCCAAUUUCUUGCUUGUUCACACUACUCUCCGCCUGGCUUUCUUAUGUCACAGAUUCCCUGAGUACACUCUGGCCUCAGUCUUUCCAUGAAGCAACUCCCUUUUCUAGAAAAUUCUUUCCCGCAUAACUCUCUGCUCUGUCCUCAUUAUAUUCUGAUCAGUAUUUGGAUGUCAAUUUCCAGUCAGGCCUUCUGUGCCCAACCUCUAAAGUGUGCUCUC